GGCGGUAGGCUUAACACAUGCAAGUCGUGCGAGAAAGUAUCUUCGGAUAUGAGUAGAGCGGCGGACGGGUGAGUAACGCGUAGGAAUCUACCUAGUAGAAGGGGAUAGCCCGGGGAAACUCGGAUUAAUACCGUAUACCUCCUUCGGGAGAAAGAGGGCCUCUCUUUGAAGCUUUCGCUACUAGAUGAGCCUGCGUAAGAUUAGCUUGUUGGUGAGGUAAAGGCUCACCAAGGCAACGAUCUUUAGCGGGUCUGAGAGGACGAUCCGCCACAUUGGGACUGAGACACGGCCCAGACUCCUACGGGAGGCAGCAGUGGGGAAUAUUGGACAAUGGGCGCAAGCCUGAUCCAGCCAUACCGCGUGUGUGAAGAAGGCCCUAGGGUUGUAAAGCACUUUAAGUUGGGAAGAAAAGUUAUUGGUUAAUACCCAAUAACCGUGACAUUACCUUCAGAAUAAGGACCGGCUAAUUCCGU
rnacentral:rRNA from 1 species